AGUCGAACGAGAGAGAAGGAGCUUGCUUCUUCGAUCGAGUGGCGAACGGGUGAGUAACGCGUGAGGAACCUGCCUCAAAGAGGGGGACAACAGUUGGAAACGACUGCUAAUACCGCAUAAGCCCACGGGUCGGCAUCGAUCUGAGGGAAAAGGAGUGAUCCGCUUUGAGAUGGCCUCGCGUCCGAUUAGCUAGUUGGUGAGGUAACGGCCCACCAAGGCGACGAUCGGUAGCCGGACUGAGAGGUUGAACGGCCACAUUGGGACUGAGACACGGCCCAGACUCCUACGGGAGGCAGCAGUGGGGAAUAUUGCACAAUGGGGGAAACCCUGAUGCAGCGACGCCGCGUGGAGGAAGAAGGUCUUCGGAUUGUAAACUCCUGUUGUUGAGGAAGAUAAUGACGGUACUCAACAAGGAAGUGACGGCUAACUACGUGCCAGCAGCCGCGGUAAAACGUAGGUCACAAGCGUUGUCCGGAAUUACUGGGUGUAAAGGGAGCGCAGGCGGGAAGACAAGUUGGAAGUGAAAUCUAUGGGCUCAACCCAUAAACUGCUUUCAAAACUGUUUUUCUUGAGUAGUGCAGAGGUAGGCGGAAUUCCCGGUGUAGCGGUGGAAUGCGUAGAUAUCGGGAGGAACACCAGUGGCGAAGGCGGCCUACUGGGCACCAACUGACGCUGAGGCUCGAAAGUGUGGGUAGCAAACAGGAUUAGAUACCCUGGUAGUCCACACCGUAAACGAUGAUUACUAGGUGUUGGAGGAUUGACCCCUUCAGUGCCGCAGUUAACACAAUAAGUAAUCCACCUGGGGAGUACGACCGCAAGGUUGAAACUCAAAGGAAUUGACGGGGGCCCGCACAAGCAGUGGAGUAUGUGGUU
rnacentral:rRNA from 1 species